CCUACGGGAGGCAGCAGUGAGGAAUAUUGGUCAAUGGGCGCGAGCCUGAACCAGCCAAGUCGCGUGAGGGAAGACGGUCCUAUGGAUUGUAAACCUCUUUUGUCGGGGAGCAAAAGACGCCACGCGUGGCGUUCCGAGAGUACCCGACGAAAAAGCAUCGGCUAACUCCGUGCCAGCAGCCGCGGUAAUACGGAGGAUGCGAGUGUUAUCCGGAUUUAGUGGGUUUAAAGGGUGCGCAGGCGGAAGAGCAAGUCAGCGGUAAAAUUGAGAGGCUCAACCUCUUCGAGCCGUGGAAACUGGUUUUCUUGAGUGAGCGAGAAGUAUGCGGAAUGCGUGGUGUAGCGGUGAAAUGCAUAGAUAUCACGCAGAACUCCGAUUGCGAAGGCAGCAUACCGGCGCUCAACUGACGCUCAUGCACGAAAGUGUGGGUAUCGAACAGGAUUAGAUACCCCAGUAGUC
rnacentral:rRNA from 1 species